rnacentral:rRNA from 1 species
CAGCCGCCGCGGUAAUACGAAGGGGGCUAGCGUUGCUCGGAAUGACUGGACGUAAAGGGCGCGUAGGCGGCGAUCAAAGUCAGGCGUGAAAUUCCUGGGCUCAACCUGGGGGCUGCGCUUGAUACUUGGUUGCUUGAGUGGGGAAGAGGGUCGUGGAAUUCCCAGUGUAGAGGUGAAAUUCGUAGAUAUUGGGAAGAACACCGGUGGCGAAGGCGGCGACCUGGUCCUUGACUGACGCUGAGGCGCGAAAGCGUGGGGAGCAAACAGGAUUAGAUACCCCGGUAGUCCCUGUCUCUUAUAC